AAUGUAUCCUGUGCAUUUCCCGUCCUGACAGUGGUGGUCAUCCUGACAGUGGUGGUCAUCCUGACAGUGGAGGUCUGCAGCCAGGUGCUCUUGAAAACCAGGAGCAAAACUAUUAAGGAGGGCUGGUUGGGUUGGAUUCGGGAAAGAUAGAGAUAAGGCUGGAGUAGAGAUGCUAGAUCCAACCUUAUUAACUUUAUCCACAAAGAAAGACAGAAGAUUUUCACAGUUUGCAUCAGAGUGGAUGGAGGCUGUAGGAGAGGCAGGAGAGACGAUACUACUGAUGAUGUUAAACAGCACACUUUGCUCUGGUACAACAGGUUGGAAAAAAUAGGCAACAGAUUUAAACAGUGGCUAAUAAUGAUGCUACUGCAGAGCUGAGCAAGUGAUUUAACUAUUAAAUCAGGUGUGUUGGAACAGAGAAACAACUUAAACAUACUAGCUAUUAACCCUCCAGAACCAAGGUCAGAGUCCGUGUUUAACUAGUUUAGGCAAGGUUAGAAAUAAAGUAAAUGUUUCCGCCCGGUUUCGAACCGGGGACCUUUCGCGUGUUAGGCGAACGUGAUAACCACUACACUACGGAAACUCUUGCGUCUGAUGUGCGUUUGUAAUUAUUUUUAGUAAUGAUCACCGCAAGUGUUAUUAUGUUAGUCAUUCUUAGAGAACACUUAAAGAGCAAGUAACGUCUAAAUUAACUUUUUUUUGCUGAUGAACUGUAUAAAUGAGUGUUUAAAGGAGACAUAACAUGAAAAACCCACUUUUUUUAAUCCAUUAACACAGUGUGUUUCACAUUUUAAGUGUCUAAGUGAGCAAAAAGGGUUAUAUUAUUCACUGGAGUUGCUAUUUAGAUAUUUAAUAAUUAAGUUUUGGGCAUAUUUGUCCACCCGUUCAGUUUUUCACAUUAUCUAUUACAUCAGUAAUUUAUUUCGUCAGGAUAACUACCAAAUAUGGUAAUGGCCCUCGGCUAAACACAGAGCCAAUCCGCCAUUUUUUCUUCUCGCUAAGAUUUUUUGUAGUCCUAUUGGAAAAAUGCAGAAUGUCUGGUUAUUUUAGCCACACACAGCUCAAAACUGUUCCUCGUUUUAAGGAAGGGUGGUGUGGCAGUAUUUAAACCCAGAAGCUGAUGACACUACUGCUAAAAAACACAGAAGAAAAAGUAGUGUGUGUGUGUGUGUGUGUGUGUGUGUGUGUGUGUGUGUGUGUGUGUGUGUGUGUGUGUGUGUGUGCGUGCGCGCGCGCGCGCGCGCGUGGUUCGUUCGUUCGUGUCUCCAGGCUAGUGGCUAAGUACUGAGGGCUUCAUCUAUCUAAAAGGAGUCAUUUCCAUCUGAAUUUGGCAGCGACGGGACACAGCAGCAGAUCGGUAAGCUUCAUAUCACUCUAAAAUGUCGACAAACUUUACUUUAGAUUUACGGGCAUUAGCAGCACUAAAGCGUUAGCAUCCGGCUUGCUAUCGCUAGCACAGUAUGCUAGUAAAGUUAGCACCCAGAUUAAUGUGGAUUUGGCUGAUUUUCGUGGAAUAAAACGUGAUUUCUGAUCAACGCCUUCUUUUACACCAGAUGAUAACCUCCCACUGAUUGUAUGGACUCUACACCAUGAGGCAGGCACACGUUAAUACUCUAUAAGAGCACAUAAGCCUGGCUGAUCACCUGAUAACUCCUGUCAUCUGGUUGUGACAGCAUGAGGAUGUCCUCACACACCUGUAACCUAUCAGCUCAUCUGGCAGAAUAGAGAGAGAAGAGACAACACCACAUCUCCUGUUCCUGGAAAGCCUUCAGCCAUCCUUCGAUGACUGAGAACCUCCAUCAGCUCUGUCUCCUGUCUGCCUACAAUUAUUAUAAUAAAUAUUGUGUUUGACAAGUUU